rnacentral:lncRNA from 1 species
UCAUCAUCAUGUGAUUUCAGUUUUCCACAAGAAACUAUAUUCGAUUCACUCCACAGCGACGACGUCGAUUUCGGAAUAUACUUCCAGAAUAUUCCGACCACAUUAUUCUACCGUAAUCUCCGACAGCUAAAAUACAUAUUUAAAUUGCAUCAGUAUGAUCUGAAAUUCAAGAAAGACGCAGCAAAAGGAAACUUACCGAGCUUAACCGUCAUUGAACCGAGGUAUUUCGACCUCAAGGGCUUACCGGCCAAUGACGAUCACCCAUCUCACGACGUAGCUAACGGCCAAAAGCUGGUUAAAGAAGUGUACGAGACACUUAGGUCG